CAGGAGGAAGAAGGAGAAGUUGCCAUGGAUCAGAUCCAUGGAUUAUCGCUGCUUUCAACAUUGAUCAGAGAUUCUUGUUUUGGAGUGGGCAAAGAGUAAUAGAUGGUAAAAGUGUGGAGAAUGACUACUGUUGAUUACUCAGUCCUACUUGGGAUACUACAUCAGCUCCAAGCCAAAAGACACCGGAGCAUCACAGGAGAGAGGAUGGGAAGACUGAAGGAGCUGGAGGAUGAGGAGGGUGCUGCCUUUUGUACACAAGAUGUCCAGUGCAUUCACGAAUGCACAGCAGCAAUGGUUAUCUGCCCAGGAGCUCCACAAGAUCAAUUCAGCCAAUAUUCUAGAAUAAACUAGGAAGGGCCUCAUGAGGCUCCAACCAUAGCUGAGGAGCUACUGGCAAUUGAUAGGGGCAGAAAGAGGAGGUUGCCAUUUUUCUUUAAGAAGCAAGGCCACUGCCGGGCGGUGGUGGCACACGCCUUUAAUCCCAGC
rnacentral:lncRNA from 1 species